UACGUAGGGGGCGAGCGUUGUCCGAAGUUACUGGGCGUAAAGAGCGCGUAGGCGGGCUUCUAAGUGAGAGGUGAAAGGUUCGGGCUCAACCCGGAGAGUGCCUUUCAUACUGGAAGCCUUGAGUGCGGGAGAGGCAAGUGGAAUGGUCGGUGUAGCGGUGAAAUGCGUAGAUAUCGGGAGGAAUACCCGUGGCGAAGGCGGUCCACUGGGCAUCAACUGACGCUGAGGCGCGAAAGCGUAGGUAGCAAACAGG
rnacentral:rRNA from 1 species